AGAGGCUAGAGCUACCAUCCCGACAGUCUGUUGCUACAUAUACUAAUAUCAACAUUUAAGUACAGCAAUAAUAUAACUUACCUGGCAUCACCAAAAAAAUACUACAACAAAAGGGCAUGGGGUAAAAAAAACAUGGUCCACAAUCAUCGACUGGAAAUAUAAAUCAAUCCAGCAGCUUCUGGUCGGUGUGCAAUCAAUAAAAAAAUAGACAAAAAUCCCCACCGGAGAGCUCCCUUAUCCACACAGCACUGCUCGUCAUCAAUCCACGCCCCCAUCAGCGCUGCUCUCUCCUCUUCUCCGCCCCGCACCCCCCAUCUCUCUUCCCUCCUCCUGUCCUCCGCACGCCCUAGGGACCGUGGCGCCAGAUCGAGGGAGCCCGGCAACGGAGGUCGCCGCCUCUCCGUCUCGAUCCGUCGGCUGCUGGAUCCGACUGCAUGGCCCGCUGGUGCCCUCCAGGGACCCCCCCCCCCCCCCCCCGACCCCGCGUCGGUGAGGACAGCCAUGGACGGGCGCCCUGGAGCUCUUCUGCCAUCGCCCGAUCUGGCCGCCCGCCCAGUCGCCGAACCGUGCUCCGGAUCCGGCCAACAGCCUCGCCUCCGACUCGAUUCAGACGCCCACAACCUCCCUCCGCCACCUGCGCCAUGCAUGCCCCCAGGUCCGACCGAUCCUGCGCCGCUCAUCCUCACUGCUUUUCUUUUGAGUGAACCUCGCUGCUUCUUUUUGGCUCGCAGCUCGCAAGGAGGACAGGCACGUCGUCCAACUGAUGCACCGGCGGCGCGUAUCGGCGUGGGGUGGGCCGGCGGCGCGUGUUGUGACCGGCGGCAGGACGUUGAGAUGGGAUUGUUUUUUUACGGAAUUGGGAGGCAGGGACGUGCGGGUGGGUGGGUGGGUUAUUUCUUUUUCUCUCUUGUCAGUAUCUCUUCGGGUUGACUUAUAUUAUAAUAGUACUGUGGGUUGAAUAGCCAAAAUAGCAGGGGGAUUUCUGUAAAAAUGCUGACGACGUACGACAGAAACCCUACGUGCUUUAUUAUUAUUAUUAUUAUUAUUAUAUAUAUAUAUAUAUAUAUAUAUAUAUAUAUAUAUAUAUAAUAGGACAUAUGCCCGUGCGUUGCAACGGGAGAAGAAAAUAUCACAUCCCUUAAUUGCUCUAGUCCAUCAACCUCCAUCCGAAUCAUAUUUCCACAACCUAAAAAGAGGUUGCAUUGUUUAGACCUGUGUGGAGAAAACAUAUGUUGCAAUAAAUCAGGAUUAACCGGGUCACCGAUCUAUGCCCAGCUCAUAAUGACUGAGGAAUGAUGAAGACAACAUGUCUCUGUCUAAAGAGCAUAAUUAGUACAAUAAACAAACCAGCACCAGCAGCCUAAAUUGUACCUUCAAAUUAAGACCUAGUUUAAUCUGACAGGGCAAUAAUCAGUCAAUUCAUCAAACAUAUAGUCAAUUUUCUAUAAGAAAACAUAUAAUCGUCCACUCAAGAUUGAAAAAUGCAGUUUGAAGGGACUGCCCAAUCUACAUAAAUCAUGUCCAUGUUUUGUACAUUGCCUAACAUUGUCUAACCAUUGGCUUAGGCAUAGUCUAACAAAGAUUGCAAACCGCUGAUAAGUGUUGACAUGUCGUUGGUUUCUUGACUGAAAAGAAAUUUUCAGUCAUAGUGAUAGCUCCAGCCAACAACUGGAAAAGUAGUUUCAUUGGAUAUACGCGUCCAACAGUCCAAAGAGCGACUCCAUAGGAGCAGUAUGAAACAUCAUCAUAAUGAAAUAUAUCCUAUUAGCAACAUGAACAAAGAAGAAUGGCACACUUAAAUGAUGGGGAAGAAACAUGAAGUGUUUCUUACAGUGUGAAAAACAAAUUCUUCCUUAACUGGUGCAAACACAUUAUUGCCACACUGGGAAUAGAUUUGUUGCUUUGCAGGCUAAAAAUCUCCCUCCGUCCAUGUAAUAACAUCUUAUAUUAUGGUGUACUUUUUUGUUGGUAAUAGCACAUAGAGCAUAAUAUAGACAACUAAAUCAAUUUAAAAAAUUGGCAUGUUUAAUCAUGUAAUAUCAUGCACCUACACUGAAGAAAGAACAAUGUCAAUCUUGAAAGGGCACUUAUCUUUGAUAGAAUUCUCAUGUUCACCUGCACCGUGAAAAGACUGGAACCACAUAUAAAUGCCAUUAUCCAGUGAAUGAUUUAUCACAUCCUGGAUGCUUUGCAUCCACGGAAGAUAAAAAUAUUUCAACACAGAGCAAGAUAAAUAGCACCUAAACCAAAGUAGUAGAGGAUACUCGGGUCAUUUGCUUUCAGAUAUUUCAUGUUCACUGUUGUUAUCUUUGCAACUUGAUAGAUCUCUUGGAUUAAAUGAGGAAGCCCACUUGUGAUGCCACUGAUGUUUAGCUUCUGAAGAAACUCUGGAUAACAAACUUAAGUGUGUUUCCCCUACUUUAGUAGUCCUCUGAUCAGCACCUGACGGAUGUUCGAUUGCGCAUUGACAAAGGUGUGUAUGCAGUUUCUCAAUCUGGCAAAAUAUACCACUUAAUUUGGAAUUUCUACCAUGAAUAACUACACCAAAUUUGCAAUUUCAGCAGCUGAGCGAUGUUGGCUAAGCCCAUUCUUAUCGCUGGAAACUUCAACAUGAGAAUAACUCCAUGUUCUUGCGUUGCAACGGGUGAAAGUAAUCUAAUAUGUGCUCACUAACGUGAAAAUUGU